rnacentral:rRNA from 1 species
GUAAGGAAUAUUGCGCAAUGGGCGAAAGCCUGACGCAGCAACGCCGCGUGCGGGAUGAAGGCCCUCGGGUUGUAAACCGCUUUCAGUAGGGAAGAAAAUGACGGUACCUACAGAAGAAGCCCCGGCCAACUACGUGCCAGCAGCCGCGGUAACACGUAGGGGGCAAGCGUUGUCCGGAUUCAUUGGGCGUAAAGAGCUCGUAGGCGGUUUCGUAAGUCGGAUGUGAAAACUCCAGGCUCAACUUGGAGACGCCAUUCGAUACUGCGAUGACUAGAGUCCAGUAGGGGAGUGUGGAAUUCCUGGUGUAGCGGUGAAAUGCGCAGAUAUCAGGAGGAACACCAGCGGCGAAGGCGGCACUCUGGGCUGGUACUGACGCUGAGGAGCGAAAGCGUGGGUAGCAAACAGGAUUAGAAACCCUGGUAGUCC